UACGUAGGGUGCGAGCGUUGUCCGGAAUUAUUGGGCGUAAAGGGCUCGUAGGCGGUUUGUCGCGUCGGGAGUGAAAUCCACUGGCUUAACUGGUGGCUUGCUUUCGAUACGGGCAGACUGGAGGUAUGCAGGGGAGAACGGAAUUCCUGGUGUAGCGGUGAAAUGCGUAGAUAUCGGGAGGAACACCAGUGGCGAAGGCGGUUGCCUGGGGCUUUGCUGACGCUGAUGCGCGAAAGCGUGGGGAGCGAGUCCGG
rnacentral:rRNA from 1 species